rnacentral:lncRNA from 12 species
CCCCCUCACCUUUUUUACUGAGAAAGAAAGGUGGCUGUUACAUCUGUCAUGAGACAAGCUGGGGCCCCUGAAAUAGGGGUGCAAUAUAGCUAAGUCUCUGGCAUAGAGAUAUAGCUGCUUGGCCUGGAAUGAAGUUACCCUGUGAAGCAGCUAGACAAAACACCCAUAUUCUGACACUUGGUCUUCGAAUUUCUACAAGUUUCUAAAUCAAUCACCAGAAAAUGGAUACUCUCUGGUCUCCCAUAUCUGAGCCAGGUGCCCAAGUUCUGGCUCUAAUUCAGGGGCUCCCUCUAAAAAUAAAUUGGAGGGGCCAGCACCAAGCUGAUGGAGACCAAAUCAACCACCAACCAGCUAACAGCAUAGGCAGCCUCUCUGGGGUUAGCUCUGGGUACCUGAGCUGGUUAGGCCAGCCCUGCUAGGGAGCCUUGAAGGAAGAGGAGGAGGAGGGUGGAGAUGCAGGACUUGGAAGAAGAGCCUAGAAGCCUUGGAGAGGGUGGGGCUAAGCAAGUUUCUGCAGCAGGAGAGGAGGAAAUGUUUUGGAGGAAUUGUGUUGGGUUGGGCUUCUAAAAGCGGUUGAAGCUGCUUGUUCCAGCCAGAGAUGGGAAGAAAGUUUUUACUGUCACUCACUCCUCUUUGAAGGGAUAACUGGAGGUGGUAGCAGCCCAGGCUCUCUCCUUCGUGUCCCACCAGAAGGAGUCCUGACUCCCCCUGUCAUAGCUGUGGAGCUUGUACCAAGGAGAGAGGAGGGAACUCUGGCGCCAGUGGUUCUCAGCACACAUUUGCCACAAUCUCUCACGUUGCUGUGCGAGGUAUCAUCGGGGAUUCUGAAGUGGACAGUGAAGCACCAAAAGUCACAGCAGACCCUGAAAAUCAGAAAUGAGACUUUUAAAUCAAUAUGAUAUAAAGACGAUAAAGUGAAGGAAUGGUAGAAUGAAGAAAAAUUCUGAAGAUGUCCAACAAAGUUUUGGAAGACUUUCCCAAGGAUAUUUAUUUGUAUGCAGAAGUGUCCCUAGCAAACAUGUGGAACUUGAGCUCUUCUUGUUGAGUUACAGUCUGAGGUACCCUCACAGGUAAUGUCUGCCUCUACCAUCCUAUUCAGGAAAGGCAUCAGGGAAACAUCUUGUAGAUGAAUUAAAUACUUGAGUCUACUAAAAGUGUUACACUAUGGUACUCAUAGGCUGCUGCUCUUGGACCAAAGUCCCAGGAGACACUUUAUAUACCACUGUUUAUUGUCACAGACUAAAUGAUAUUCCUGCUCCAGCCUCUGGCCAAACCAUGAUGUUAAAGACAACAUCCCAUCACUGGUACCAAAGUUAACAGAAAGUUCAUCCCUCAUUCUCCUUUCCUCUAUAUCUUUUAAAAUAAAAGAAUACAGAAAGGCA